rnacentral:rRNA from 1 species
UACGUAGGGUGCGAGCGUUGUCCGGAAUUACUGGGCGUAAAGGGCUCGUAGGUGGUCAACUAAGUCGGACGUGAAAUCCCUCGGCUUAACCGGGGAACUGCGUCCGAUACUGGAUGACUUGAGUUCGGGAGAGGGAUGCGGAAUUCCAGGUGUAGCGGUGAAAUGCGUAGAUAUCUGGAGGAACACCGGUGGCGAAGGCGGCAUCCUGGACCGACACUGACGCUGAGGAGCGAAAGCCAGGGGAGCAAACGGG